AGUGAACGCUGGCGGUAGGCCUAACACACGCAAGUCGAACGGCAGCACAGGAGAGCUUGCUCUCUGGGUGGCGAGUGGCGGACGGGUGAGGAAUACAUCGGAAUCUACCUUUUCGUGGGGGAUAACGUAGGGAAACUUACGCUAAUACCGCAUACGACCUACGGGUGAAAGUGGGGGACCGCAAGGCCUCACGCGAUUAGAUGAGCCGAUGUCCGAUUAGCUAGGUGGCGGGGUAAUGGCCCACCAAGGCGACGAUCGGUAGCUGGUCUGAGAGGAUAAUCAGCCACACUGGAACUGAGAAACGGUCCAGACUCCUACGGGAGGCAGCAGUGGGGAAUAUUGGACAAUGGGCGCAAGCCUGAUCCAGCCAUACCGCGUGGGUGAAGAAGGCCUUCGGGUUGUAAAGCCCUUUUGUUGGGAAAGAAAUCCUAUCGGUUAAUAACCGGUGGGAUGACGGUACCCAAAGAAUAAGCACCGGCUAACUUCGUGCCAGCAGCCGCGGUAA
rnacentral:rRNA from 1 species